GCGGGUGUAGCUCAAUGGUAGAGCAGAAGCUUCCCAAGCUUACGACGAGCGGUUGAAACGCCUAUAUCCGCA
rnacentral:tRNA from 1 species